GACGAACGCUGGCGGCGUGCUUAACACAUGCAAGUCGAACGGAAAGGCCCUGCUUUUGUGGGGUGCUCGAGUGGCGAACGGGUGAGUAACACGUGAGUAACCUGCCCUUGACUUUGGGAUAACUUCAGGAAACUGGGGCUAAUACCGGAUAGGAGCUCCUGCUGCAUGGUGGGGGUUGGAAAGUUUCGGCGGAUGGGGAUGGACUCGCGGCUUAUCAGCUUGUUGGUGGGGUAGUGGCUUACCAAGGCUUUGGCGGGUUCCCGGCCUGAGAGGGUGACCGGACACAUUGGGACUGAGACACGGUCCAGACUCCUACGGGAGGCAGCAGUGGGGAAUAUUGCACAAUGGGCGGAAGCCUGAUGCAGCAACGCCGCGUGCGGGAUGACGGCCUUCGGGUUGUAAACCGCUUUCGCCUGUGACGAAGCGUGAGUGACGGUAAUGGGUAAAGAAGCACCGGCUAACUACGUG
rnacentral:rRNA from 1 species